CCUACGGGAGGCAGCAGUGAGGAAUAUUGCACAAUGGGCGCAACCCUGAUCCAGCGACGUCGCGUGAGUGAAGAAGUCUCUCGGUAUGUAAAGCUCUAUCUGCAGGGAAGAAAAUGACGGUACCUGAUUCAGAAGUCACGGAUAACUACGUGCCCGCAGGCGCGGUAAUACGCAGGGGGCAAGCGUUAUCCGGAUUUACUGGGUGUAAAGGGAGCGUAGACGGCAGCACAAGUCUGGUGUGAAAUGCCGGGGCUUAACCGCGGAACUGCUUUGGAAACUGUGCAUCUAGAGUGCAGGAGAGGUAAGUGGAAUUCGUAGUGUAGCGGUGAAAUGCGUAGAUAUUAGGAAGAACACCAGUGGCGAAGGCAGCUUACUGAACUGUAACUGACGUUGAGGCUCGAAAGCGUGGGUAGCAAACAGGAUUAGAUACCCUAGUAGUC
rnacentral:rRNA from 1 species